rnacentral:lncRNA from 1 species
AGAACAAAAAACCCACAGGACCUGAACAUGGGGUGUUCCAGGGAAGUGAAUAGUAAUUUUCUUUAUCUUUUUGUCUUUUUCUUAGAAUGCUAUAUUACUUCAGUUUUAUCAAGCAACCAGUGAAGAUGUGGAAAUAAGAAUUGCUGCUUAUUAUAUAGUAAUGAAAUGUCCACAUGAAGAGUUAUUUAAACAAGUACAAAAGACUUUGCUGAAAGAAACAUCCAGCCAAGUGGGCUCCUUUGUUUGGAGUCAUCUCUCUCAGCUCUUGGAGACGGAUGAUCCGUUGAAGGAGCACCUUCGAGAUUCUAUUCCUGAUGAAAUUCUUAGCAAAGAUUUUGACUGGGAGACAUGGAAAUACUCCUCAUACUCUGAUGUCACAUUUCACUCAGCUGGUGCAGGUGCAAAUAUGGAAGCAUCAGUGGUCUUUUCUCCUACAUCUUUUCUACCACGAUCAGUCAUGACAAAUUUGACUGUUCACUUUAUGGGACAGGCUAUAAAUCUCCUGGAGGCAAGUUUAUGGAUUUUUUUAAUUGUGGGGUUUUUUUAUCCCACUUCUCAAGUGACACUUGGUAUAUUGAAGUACAAAGAAUUUUCUGUUUUCCUGUUGCAGUUCCUUUAGCAAAAUGUGCUUUUCACUUUUGUAGCACAGUUGCCUCAGACUGGUG